GAGCGUGGCGCGGCGUGGGGACGGGGACGAGGAGUUGCGCCUGCGCAGGACGUAGUCCUUCGGGUGAGGGCGGGAGCGUUAAGCUCCGCGCCAGCGGGCUGGAAGUCGUUCCCGGAAAUGGGAGGUCUGUGGCUUUCGGGCGCUCCGGAGAGGAACUUCCUUGGAGGCGCAGUGGUUAAGAAUCCACCUGCCAAUGCAUGGGACAUGGGUUCGAGCCCUGGUCCAGGAAGAUCCCACAUGCCACGGAGCAACUAAGCCCGUGCACCACAACUACUGAGCCUGCGCUCUAGAGCCUGUGAGCCACAACUACUGAGCCUGCGAGCCACAGCUACUGAAGCCCACGCACCUAGAGCCCAUGCUCCACAACAAGAUAAGCCACCACAAUGAGAAGCCCGCGCACCGCAACAAAGAGUAGCCCCCGCUCAACGCCAACUAGAGAAAGCCAGCAUGCAGCAACGAAGACCCAACACAACCAAAAAUAAAUAAAUAAAUAAAAUUGAAAAUAAUAAAACUUCUUUAUACAAUGGAAUACUACUCAGCCAUAAAAAAGAAUGAAAUAAUGCCAUUUGCAGCAACAUGGAUGGACCGAGAAAUUAUCAUACUAAGUGAAGGAAGUCAGAAAGAAAGCCAAAUACCAUAUGAUAUCACUUGUAUGUGGAAUCUAAAAUAUUACGUAAAUGAACUUAUCCACAAAGUAGAAACAGACUCACAGACAUAGAGAACAGAUUUGUGGUUGCCAAGGGAGAGGGUGUAUGGGGGAGGGAUGGAAUUAGCAGAUGCAAACUGUUAUAUAUAGAAUGGAUGAACAACAAGGUCUGUAUAGCACAGGGAACUAUAUUCAAUAUCCUGUAAUAAAACAUAAUGGAAAAGAAUUUUAAAAAAAAAACUCCUUAAAGGCACACAUUCCUAUAAGACUAUCCUAAGAAUUAUCAAUUUCCUGGACUUCUCUAACUUCAAUUUAGGAAAUAUCAACUCUCCGAAACUCCACAUCCUAGCCUUCCCUUAUUGUCUUGUUUUGCUGAGUGCUACUUAUUUAAUAUUCUUUACAACAAUGCUCUUACUAUGCGGUAUAAUGAUGUACUACAUCAACUUGAAUGAAAUGAAAAAAAAAACUCUGCUUACUCUAUGCAUCCAUUCUCCUCCCGAGUUCUUUGAUCAAGUUUACAAUCAUUACUCUGAACGGAAAGAAUGUGAACUUUUAUCCACAGGAUAAUGUCUAUAUUUUUGCCGAUAAAAAAUGAUCUGGGUUCCAGAUCUAAGAGGGAAAAGCAGUUUGACUUAAAGAAAGGUAUGCAUGCCUUGAGGGCCCUCUUGUGUGUGAGUUCUCGGAGGAUGACUUCGAGCUCCAAGCCCUGUGGCUCACAGUGCACCCAAAUCAGAAAAUGUUCACAAGGGGCUUUCCUGGUGGCGCAGUGGUUGAGGGUCCGCCUGCUGAUGCAGGGGACGCAGGUUCGUGCCCCGGUCUGGGAGGAUCCCACGUGCCGCGGAGCGACUGGGCCCGUGAGCCAUGGCCGCUGAGCCUGCGCGUCCGGAGCCUGUGCUCCGCAGCGGGAGAGGCUGUGGCUGUGAGGGGCCCGCGUACCGCAAAAAAAAAAAGUGUUCACAAGAACUGUGAAGACGUUUUGAAAAUCCUGAAAGCCCUGAAAUUCUCCCCCAUGGUUUGGAGGAGCGCCUUUUAUUCCCGGUGUAAUGCUGAUAAAUAAAUUGGUACCUGGUGUUCAA